AAAACUGCGUAGGAGAUCAUUAAUACAAUAGUAUUAUAUAAACCAAGCCUGAUGUUGGCCGCUCAUUCAAAGAAUGCAGCAGUGUGACAGCCAGCAAUCAAAAGUAACAAGAUGUCGAGGAAAUGCAGAGUGCAAUAAACUGUGUAGGAGAUUAUGAUUGUAAUAGAAUAAAAUCGACCAAGCCUGAAGUCCUUCAAUGCACGCAGCAGUGUGACAGCCAGCAAUCAAAAGUUACAAGAUAUCGAGGAAAUGCAGAAGGCAAAAAACUUCGUAGGAGAUUAUUAAUACAAUAGUAUUAUAUCAACCAAGCCUGAUGUCGGUAGCUUCUUCAAUGAAUGCAGCAGUGUGACAGCCAGCAAUCAAUAGUGACAAGAAUCUAGGAAAUACAGAAGGCAAAGAAGCAGAUGUCAUCAAAAAAGAUCUUUGUUCCUGCAAUGUUUCCGCAGUCGAUACAGAUACAGAUCCAACAGAGCGAAGUGGAAGGAAAAGACUCGGAAAAAAGACCCCACCACCAUAUGGGAACAAUGCAAGGGAGAGAGAGAGAAUAUAAUGUUAUAUUUUUAUUUUUUGAUAACAUAAAAUAAACCAACAAU